rnacentral:rRNA from 1 species
UACAGGGGGGGCAAGCGUUGUUCGGAAUUACUGGGCGUAAAGGGCUCGUAGGCGGCCAACUAAGUCCGACGUGAAAUCCCAAAGCUUAACUUUGGAACUGCGUCGGAUACUGGAUGGCUUGAAUUCGGGAGAGGGAUGCAGAAUUCCAGGUGUAGCGGUGAAAUGCGUAGAUAUCUGGAGGAACACCGGUGGCGAAGGCGGCAUCCUGGACCGGCAUUGACGCUGAGGAGCGAAAGCCAGGGGAGCAAAGCGGG